rnacentral:antisense_RNA from 1 species
CACGCGAAACCAGAAUUCCUUCCGGAGAGCAAAUCCGUACAGAAGGUCGUGGGGGGAGGACCAGGGGAGGAGGGAUUGAUCAAUAAAUAAAAUAAUAAAUUAAUCAAUAAAUAAAAUAGAAACAGCUCCCCCGCCCCCUGUUCCCCUAGAACCACCCCCAGUUGGGCACGGCCUGCGGAGCCCCAUCCCUGCAGGGCAAGGCCGGUUUUUGUGUCCACCCCCCUCCCGACAUGUUCCUUGGGCCUUAUUUACAGAUUCACAGUUGGGGGGCAGGGAAGGGGGGUGGAGGGGGGGUCCCCUCCCUCCCCGGCCCCGUGGGGUCAGGGCAGAGGGGUCCCGUUGGUGGCCAGGAGCUUCUUG